GAAAGUUAUCUUCAAUGUAUUGAUAUAAUUGGCUACCGCUGUAUUUAUUUAAACAUAUUUAUUUUUAGCUCUCAGUGUUGUGUCUACCAAGGGUGAAUGUGGAGACACUUGUAAGUUGGAGGGAGGUGAAUGUGCCUGGGAUCAGCCUGCUGGUAACUUCAGUGCUAUAGGAAAAUGUAGUGAGGGAGUGUAUGGAGAGGGGAUCUACUGUCAGUGUGGAACCUGUUGGAAGAAGAACGAAAUUGACCCAUGCGAGGAUUCUAAAUGCAAGGAAUCUGGAGGAAUAUGUUCUUGGGACCAACCUAGACCAGAUUAUGAGUCAACCGGGAAAUGUGGUGUAACAAAAUCCAUCGGCCCUGAUAACAAAGGAACUAUCUGCUACUGUGGAUACUGCUGGAAACCUAAAGUGGUAGAGUGCAGGAACCUUAUUUGUGAAGAGGGAAUGGGAAUCUGUUCUCCAGUAUCACCUGGAUGGGGAUGGAGAAAGAAUGGAAAUUGUGGGGACACCCUUGACUGCGUGUGCUGGAUUUAUACUCUUGGUCUCAGAAACCUAGAUACUGCCCUCUAAGACACUUUUUGGAGCCUAUGCUAAACAAUUAUAUUUCAAAAUUUAUUUUUGUUUCAAAGUUCAAUAAAAGAUAAUUCCGCAGUAAAUGUA